UUGGAGGGCAAGUCUGGUGCCAGCAGCCGCGGUAAUUCCAGCUCCAAUAGCGUAUAUUAAAGUUGUUGCAGUUAAAAAGCUCGUAGUUGAAUUUCGGGAUCAAUUUAUUGGUCGUGCCAACGGUACGCACAGGUACAAUUGGGUUCUCCCUUCUGACGAAGCAUGAUGUUAUUAAUUUGAUGUCGUGGGGAAUCAGGACUGUUACUUUGAAAAAAUUAGAGUGUUUAAAGCAGGCUUUGGCUUGAAUACAUUAGCAUGGAAUAAUGAAAUAGGACGUUUGAUCUUAUUUCGUUGGUUUCUAAGAUCGACGUAAUGAUUAAUAGGGAUAGUUGGGGGCAUUAGUAUUCAAUUGUCAGAGGUGAAAUUCUUGGAUUUAUUGAAGACUAACUACUGCGAAAGCAUUUGCCAAGGAUGUUUUCAUUAAUCAAGAACGAAAGUUAGGGGAUCGAAGACGAUCAGAUACCGUCGUAGUCUUAACCAUAAACUAUGCCGACUAGGGAUCGGAUGAUGUUAAUGUUUUAAUGACUCAUUCGGCGCCUUACGGGAAAC
rnacentral:rRNA from 1 species